CUCAGGAAGACUAAUCAGAUAUCAUUGUACAUCAAUAACAUUUAGAUAUAGGGUAUUAGAAACUCAUUA
rnacentral:sRNA from 1 species